GCAUAUAAGACUGUAAGAAUCUUCCUAAAGUUAAAGUAGCAGGCAGAAGACAUGAAAGUCACUAAACAGCGCUU
rnacentral:tRNA from 1 species